AACGAACGCUGGCGGCAUGCCUAACACAUGCAAGUCGAACGAGACCUUCGGGUCUAGUGGCGCACGGGUGCGUAACGCGUGGGAACCUGCCCUUAGGUUCGGAAUAACUCCCCGAAAGGGGUGCUAAUACCGGAUAAUGUCUUCGGACCAAAGAUUUAUCGCCUUUGGAUGGGCCCGCGUUGGAUUAGCUAGUUGGUAGGGUAAAAGCCUACCAAGGCGACGAUCCAUAGCUGGUCUGAGAGGAUGAUCAGCGACACUGGGACUGAGACACGGCCGAGACUCCUACGGGAGGCAGCAGUGGGGAAUAGUGGACAAUGGGCGAAAGCCUGAUCCAGCAAUGACGCGUGAGUGAUGAAGGCCUUAGGGUUGUAAAGCUCUUUUACCCGGGAUGAUAAUGACAGUACCGGGAGAAUAAGCUCCGGCUAACUCCGUG
rnacentral:rRNA from 1 species